UACGUAGGGUGCAAGCGUUAAUCGGAAUUACUGGGCGUAAAGCGUGCGCAGGCGGUGAUGUAAGACAGUUGUGAAAUCCCGGGCUCAACCUGGGAACUGCAUCUGUGACUGCAUCGCUGGAGUGCGGCAGAGGGGAUGGAAUUCCGCGUGUAGCAGUGAAAUGCGUAGAUAUGCGGAGGAACACCGGUGGCGAAGGCGGCCUGCUGGGCGAGUUGCUGACACUGAGGCGCGAAAGCGUGGGGAGCAAACAGG
rnacentral:rRNA from 1 species